rnacentral:misc_RNA from 1 species
GAUGAAGAAACGUAGCGAAAUGCGAUAAGUAAUGUGAAUUGCAGAAUUCAGUGAAUCAUCGAAUCUUUGAACGCACCUUGCGCCCUUUGGCUAUUCCAGAGGGCAUGCCUGUUUGAGUAUCAUGAACACCUCAACUCUCAUGGUUCUGCCAUGAUGAGCUUGGACUUUGGAGGUCUUGCUGGCCCCUGUGGUCAGCUCCUCUCAAAUGGAUCAGCUUGCCAGUGUUUGGUGGCAUCACAGGUGUGAUAACUAUCUACGCUUGUGGUUUUCCACCAGGUAACCUUCAGUGAUGGAGGUUCGCUGGAGCUCAUAAACGUCUCUCCUCAGCGAGGACAGCUUCUUGAACGUUUGAUCUCAAAUCAGGUAGGGCUACCCGCUGAACUUAAGCAUAUCAAUAAGCGGAGGA